rnacentral:rRNA from 1 species
AACGAACGCUGGCGGCAUGCCUAACACAUGCAAGUCGAACGAGACCUUCGGGUCUAGUGGCGCACGGGUGCGUAACGCGUGGGAAUCUGCCCUCUGGUUCGGAACAACAGUUGGAAACGACUGCUAAUACCGGAUAAUGACUUCGGUCCAAAGAUUUAUCGCCUGAGGAUGAGCCCGCGUCGGAUUAGCUUGUUGGUGAGGUAAAAGCUCACCAAGGCGACGAUCCGUAGCUGGCCUGAGAGGAUGAUCAGCCACACUGGGACUGAGACACGGCCCAGACUCCUACGGGAGGCAGCAGUGGGGAAUAUUGGACAAUGGGCGAAAGCCUGAUCCAGCAAUGCCGCGUGAGUGAUGAAGGCCUUAGGGUUGUAAAGCUCUUUUACCCGGGAUGAUAAUGACAGUACCGGGAGAAUAAGCCCCGGCUAACUCCGUGCCAGCCGCCGCCGUAAAAC